rnacentral:rRNA from 1 species
AUUGAACGCUGGCGGCAGGCCUAACACAUGCAAGUCGAGCGGUAGCACAGAGAGCUUGCUCUCGGGUGACGAGCGGCGGACGGGUGAGUAAUGUCUGGGAAACUGCCUGAUGGAGGGGGAUAACUACUGGAAACGGUAGCUAAUACCGCAUAACGUCGCAAGACCAAAGUGGGGGACCUUCGGGCCUCAUGCCAUCAGAUGUGCCCAGAUGGGAUUAGCUAGUAGGUGGGGUAACGGCUCACCUAGGCGACGAUCCCUAGCUGGUCUGAGAGGAUGACCAGCCACACUGGAACUGAGACACGGUCCAGACUCCUACGGGAGGCAGCAGUGGGGAAUAUUGCACAAUGGGCGCAAGCCUGAUGCAGCCAUGCCGCGUGUGUGAAGAAGGCCUUCGGGUUGUAAAGCACUUUCAGCGGGGAGGAAGGCGGUGAGGUUAAUAACCUCAUCGAUUGACGUUACCCGCAGAAGAAGCACCGGCUAACUCCGUGCCAGCAGCCGCGGUAAUACGGAGGGUGCAAGCGUUAAUCGGAAUUACUGGGCGUAAAGCGCACGCAGGCGGUCUGUCAAGUCGGAUGUGAAAUCCCCGGGCUCAACCUGGGAACUGCAUUCGAAACUGGCAGGCUAGAGUCUUGUAGAGGGGGGUAGAAUUCCAGGUGUAGCGGUGAAAUGCGUAUAGGUCUGGAGGAAUACCGGUGGCGAAGGCGGCCCCCUGGACAAAGACUGACGCUCAGGUGCGAAAGCGUGGGGAGCAAACAGGAUUAGAUACCCUGGUAGUCCACGCCGUAAACGAUGUCGAUUUGGAGGUUGUGCCCUUGAGGCGUGGCUUCCGGAGCUAACGCGUUAAAUCGACCGCCUGGGGAGUACGGCCGCAAGGUUAAAACUCAAAUGAAUUGACGGGGGCCCGCACAAGCGGUGGAGCAUGUGGUUUAAUUCGAUGCAACGCGAAGAACCUUACCUGGUCUUGACAUCCACAGAACUUUCCAGAGAUGGAUUGGUGCCUUCGGGAACUGUGAGACAGGUGCUGCAUGGCUGUCGUCAGCUCGUGUUGUGAAAUGUUGGGUUAAGUCCCGCAACGAGCGCAACCCUUAUCCUUUGUUGCCAGCGGUCCGGCCGGGAACUCAAAGGAGACUGCCAGUGAUAAACUGGAGGAAGGUGGGGAUGACGUCAAGUCAUCAUGGCCCUUACGACCAGGGCUACACACGUGCUACAAUGGCAUAUACAAAGAAAACCGACCUCGCGAGAGCAAGCGGACCUCAUAAAGUAUGUCGUAGUCCGGAUUGGAGUCUGCAACUCGACUCCAUGAAGUCGGAAUCGCUUGUAAUCGUAGAUCAGAAUGCUACGGUGAAAUACUUUCCGGGGCCU